UCAUUGCACCCUUAAAUCCUGAUUGUCUCUUUUUUUCCCUCAUUUUUUCUUCUUCUUUCUUAACCACAAAGCAUGCCUUAAUUUUCUCUUUGCAUGCACCAUCCAAGCUCUGUGAGCUGACAGCCAUAUCCCCAAUGCUGAUUGCCAAUCCCUGGGCAAUGGCCGUCGAGCCUUGAGCACCAAUAAUUGCUGCUACUGACUUCUGCUUAUGAAGGGCUAACUGCCGUCUACUGUGUCUUGAGUGUUGAUAGUCAAUCCGAAGAGCUGACCUUUCAAUUCCUGAGCAUCGAGUAUGGAUCCUAAGUACCGGCCACUGCCAUCAUUAAUUUUAGUCCUGGGUUGGGCAUAUCAUGGACCGUCGCUACCAUUGAUCUCCACCCUAAUAUGCAUUCCUCUAUGCC
rnacentral:lncRNA from 1 species